UGCGUUCUUCUGAAAACUUGAGUUUCCAAAAAUUUAAAUAACUUUAUUACUCUGGAAUUAAAACUAAGUUUUUUUUUUUGCGUAAGUUAAUCAACAAUGUUUUUACGAGCGUUUAACCUCCACAAUCCAACCAUAACAUCUAAGCCAGGUUUGGGGUAUUACAACUCCCAUUAUCAUCAUGCCAUAUAAACAUAUGAGAUACCAAGAGCAAAUCAACAUAACUCAUAACAAAUGUUAUCCGAUACACCACCAGUAAGAACAUAGCAACAAAAUCAUAAAAUCCAACGACAAGCAUAAACCAACAAGCUCUUUUUAAAAGUAACAAUAUCAGUAACAUAAAAAAACACCAACAAAAGUCAGCAAUAGCAAGCAAACCAUUAACUUAUCUCCCACUUUUUGUCGAAAGGCCGAAAGACUCCCAUUGUCAUUUCUAGUUGUACUAUUUUGUUUUAGUUUCUGUUCGAACAAGAGUUUGAACAUCCAUGUUUGUUUCAGUUCAGCUUCUUCUUCCAAAAAAGUAUGGCCAAAUGAUUCUAUAAAUUGGUUGGAUGAUCUCAACGUUCAUUCUGUUUCUAUGACUUGGCUUUAUAAUGUAGAUCGUGGAUUGGCACACGUUUAGUGGGACGUAUAAGGGAACCUCCCUUCUUCUUUUACAACGGGUCUUCUUUGCAUUCUCAUAUUGUGCCUAUCUCAUAUCAAAACAUGGACAUUACAACCAUUCUCAGAAGGCUACUGCUAUUCUAGUAAGGAAAACAACAUCGACGAAAACUAAGAAGAGGCCCAAAUUAGAGCAAAGUACUUAAGAGACCGAAAGUAAUGAAUUCCCUCCUUUGGCAUAGCGUAUACCCGGAAAAGAGCCUGCCACAAAUGUCACUCACAGUUCUCCAGUUCCUACCUUACUCGGAAUUCCAACACCACCAAUGGAGCCCGCCCAAAAAGCUGAUUCUCCUAUUCACACCACUAAUCCUCUUCAAACAGAGAUUGUCAUAGAAAUAAUACCUCCAACACAACUAAUGGCUUCAUCCUAUAUUCCACCACACGAUGCUUCUUCUAGUGAAGUAGAAGGAAUAUUCCCUUGGCGUGAACUAUUAAAGUCGGGGCUAUCUUCUAUGUCACUAGGUUCCAUUUUUUAGUAGCAGAAUAAUUCGAUGCCACAUCAGUUAAAAGAGGCUCUUACUUCCUAUCUUUCCUUAAAUUCGGAUUUGUCUCCUCUUUCCCUCUUGAAAAAGGCUUCACAAACCUUAUUUGUAGAGCAUGAGCUUUGGAGUUGGGCCUUCAAAGACACCAGUGAUCGAUACAAUGCUAGAGUUGCGAGUUUGGUGAAGGUUGUGAAAAUUGACGAAAACUCUAUGGCUGAACUACGCCGAGAUCAUCAGGAAUCUAUCAGCUUGAGUGGAAGGCUUGAUGCCUAUGUCAUGGCUUUGAAGAGAAAAUAUAAGGACACAUAAAAUAAGUGUAAUUAGUCAGAAGAGGACAUCAAUCUGCUAAAAGAUAAAGAAUCCAUAUUGGAAGAAAAGAUCAAC